rnacentral:rRNA from 1 species
CUACGGGACGCAGCAGUGGGGAAUAUUGGACAAUGGGGGAAACCCUGAUCCAGCAAUGCCGCGUGUGUGAAGAAGGCCUGCGGGUUGUAAAGCACUUUCGGUUGGGAGGACUGCUUCUAGCACUAAUAUUGUUGGAAGUUGACGUUACCUUCAGAAGAAGCACCGGCUAACUCCGUGCCAGCAGCCGCGGUAAUACGGAGGGUGCGAAGCGCUAAUCGGAAUUACUGGGCGUAAAGCGCGCGUAGGCGGCUAGAUCAGUCGGGUGUGAAAGCCCCGGGCUUAACCUGGGAACUGCAUCCGAUACUGUCUAGCUUGAGUACAGGAGAGGAGAGUGGAAUUCCACAUGUAGCGGUGAAAUGCGUAGAUAUGUGGAGGAACACCAAUGGCGAAGGCAGCUCUCUGGCCUGAUACUGACGCUGAGGUGCGAAAACGUGGGGAGCAAACAGGAUUAGAUACCCGUGUAGUC